rnacentral:misc_RNA from 1 species
GAUGAAGAACGUAGCGAAAUGCGAUAAGUAAUGUGAAUCGCAGAAUUCAGUGAAUCAUCGAAUCUUUGAACGCACAUUGCGCCCGGCAGUACUCUGCCGGGCAUGCCUGUUCGAGCGUCAUUUCAACCCUCAAGCCCUGCUUGGUGUUGGGGCCCCACGGCUGCCGUGGGCCCUGAAAGGAAGUGGCGGGCUCGCUACAACUCCGAGCGUAGUAAUUCAUUAUCUCGCUUAGGGCGUUGGGCGGCGCUCCAGCCGUUAAAGAACCAUCUUUAACUCAAGGUUGACCUCGGAUCAGGUAGGAAUACCCGCUGAACUUAAGCAUAUCAAUAAGCGGAGGA